rnacentral:lncRNA from 1 species
GCCUCCUGGAUUCAGGUUUGUUACAUGCUCAAAUGGGGAAGCCUGUCUUUGUAUCAGGCUACUCUUGUUACAAACACCUGAACCGGAACUCAAACUCAUGUGUUACCGUCCUCUCAUCUUGUCUGUUUUAUUCUCAGGGACGCAUUCAUGGCUUCAUUCAACAAGUGGACUGUGGGAAGAUGUUCAUCAACAAGUCUGCGGUAUUAAGUUUAGCUGCUAGUACAUAUUAUGGAUUUGGGGACAUGAGGGAGCGAGUGGUACAUGGAUCGAUUGGUGUAGUCUUUGUAGGUUGAGUAGAUUCUUCAAGAGUACUGAGGUUUCUUCAGGAGUACUGAAGAGCUUUAUUGUUCUUGGAAAAAUGAUAAUUAGCUAAAAAUGUUAGCUCUGUCAUUCCAUAAUUAUUGAUUAAUUGUUUGGUCUGAUUUCAAGGUACGGACAACAGGAAAGAAAUCUUGCAUCGUUUGCAUAUGGUACAUAGACAUGUUUCCCAUUCAGCCGCCAACUCCACGCUUAGUUCGUUAGCUGAUUAUAGGGAAAACAAAAGUUGGUAAGUUCAAAAUGUCCAGUCCUAUAAGUUCAUCUAAUCUAUGUAGGAUUUUGUACUAUGAGUUCAUCUACUCUAUGUGUUUGGGCAGUACAAAUAUGGCUACAGUAUAUUACUGCUAUGUAGAAUUUUGUCCUGUGAGUUCAUCUACUCUACUGUAUGAGUUCAUCUACUCUACAGUACAAGUUCAGCUAUGAGAAAGAAUUAGCAAAACUGAAAGAAAAAAUGAAUGUUACCAGAAUUGAAAGCAAAUGAUUUUUCAAACUUUUGGAUGAGAUCUUGCUCAGUUUUCUGGUUAAAAAAAAAGACAACAUGGAUUUACCAUGUUCUACCGGUGUUACUACUUUGUACUGAUCCUGGAAGCCUAUGAGCGGUACAUUUUCCUAAGCGGGUAAUGAUCGCAAACUCUUGGUUAUGAUGGAUUUUAAUAUAGAGCUAGGCCUUGUCACUGUGAAUUUAUUAUGCACCUGAUCCAAAUUCUUCUGAUGUUCUGGGCCUCUGGGGCAUGGGUCCAAUAUAUUAGUUUCUAUGCUCCACUGGUCCUCUCCACCACGAGCCCUAGUGUGGAUCACCUGCGGCGGCCAAAUCCCGGCGGGCCCAGCCACUGCUCGUGAACCCCGCCUCCAUCAGCUCCACUUCACCGGAGCCGUCAGUCCGCAGGAGUAGGGGUAGCAGGUUCACCCGACGUGCGACGCCUUCUUUCAUCUCCAAAAAUCUUGUUUAUUGAGUUCAGUUCUUCGUCGCAUGUUUCACUAGCUAAAAAAUGUAUGGUGUUCUGAAAUUGCUUGCGAACCACUAGCUGAAAAAAAUAAUCCCUCUUCUUGUAAGUUCUGGUCAGAGUUUAGACUAUACCAAAUGUCCAAAUUACAUGGUGUGGUCUUCUGUUCUUUCCGUUCAUUUCAAGUUAACUGUAGCUGAACAUGUGUUGUGUUGAUACUGAACUUGUGAUUUGUCUGAUUCUAAACUGAUGCGUAUCCAACAUUGGUGUUUAAACAAUUUUUGGUCCAUUGACUGUUUGAACUUGCAACCUUACUGCCUUGAACUAUGGUAUAAAAAAACUGAACUCAUGCAGGUACUUGGUGGUGCAGACUUGGUAGCGGUGAUAUUUUGGUUCGAUUACAUAUCAACAACAGUGCAAUGACUGAAAGAUCAUCAGUUCAAAAUAUAUAUGCAGGAGGUUUGCGAACCAAAAAGUUGAUAUUUUGUUGUGUUUAAAUUUUCGGGUGCAUGAUUGAACAAGAUAUAAAAAUAAAUAUGAUGUAUGAUAUAUACUUUUUUCUUGUAGGAGGUUCAAAGAUUGUCGUGGAGCAAGUUAAAGAGUUUAGUACACCUGCGUCAGUCGGCCACCGUAGGAUGUAGCUACUACUCUCUCAAGUCAUAGGCUGCGGUUGCUACUUCUUUGUACUCGUAAUUUGUUAUUUCUUUGCAACCAGAUGUGACAGACGGAUGCAAGAGGCAAAGUGUCCUAUUUGUUAGAUGUUCAGUACAGAUUUUUCUCUAAGAAAAAACAACAUGAGGCAACAGUUUUGAAUGUGCUAGUUGUAAGUAACUUAGUUGUUAGAUGGUCAUUUCAGAUUUUUGUAGAUGCAACAACUAGUUUGUUUUCUUGUGCUAGUUGAACUGGUUUUCUUGUGCUAGUUGAACUGGUCUUGGUUCAGAUAUUUCUCUGAGAAAAAAGUAGCAAGAGGCGGCAGUAUUGAAUGAUCUUUGUUAGAUGUUCUGUAAAUAUUAUGGAAUUUUCUAUGGGACACACCUGAACUGAAGUUGUUACCUGAAAUGAAUGGUUCUACUUCUCCCACGGAAAAUGCCACCUUUGGUUUCAGGUUUCUUCAUUGUUGUAAGGCUUGUGAAAUUUAGAUAAUCUUACCACUGAGGUUGUGGUGCCUUUUUCUUUCAGCAAAAAUUCAGGUUGGGAAGCUUAUUUCUUCCAAAGUGAUUGUUUGGGUACUACAAGCUCCCACAGAGUGGAAGCGGUUGUUACAACAGGUUUGAAGUAGAUAUUACACAAGGUUUGAUUUUUCUAGACCAUGUACAAAAACAGUAGCAGUUCUAGUACUUAUGCAGUCGUCUGCCUUUUCUUAACUUUGUUUGAUUUUUCGUGAAAUAUAUAAAACCCAGUAGCAGUACUAUUACUUAUUGUACAACAGGUCAUUGACUAAAACUAUAUCAGUUUAGCACAUGUACUUACAAAAACAAAUCAACAGGUUUGUAGGUUUUUUUCAGCUCAUCUUGUUGGCUUUUUUGGUUCAUACUGCAGGCUUGUAGGAUUAGAUUCUCAUGUUUGUUUCAAUAUUAGGGAGAAGUAGAACCAUUCAUUUCUUGUAUAUUUAUUGUUAUUGUAGUAUUAUGGAGUAUGUGAUCAGCUCAUGCAGUAUAUACUAAGUAUGCACAAAAUGUCUGUACGGUACUUUACAUACAAAAAACUUGCUUUCUCUAGACCAUGCAAGAUUCCUCAAAGGAGCUCAUGUCGAACGAGUGCUUUACAUACAAAUGAGCGCAAUGAUGGGCCAUUAGCUUAAUUUCGCGCACACGACAUCUUUGGUCGCGUGGCCGGCACCAUUAUCUUAAAUAUUUGUUUCUGCACUAAGUUUCUUAAUGUAUUUUGUUCACAAAAUUUUAGUGAAAAUUUUACCUCACGUUACUUGUGAUCUCGCAACUGUAUGUUCACCCGUGAAGGUAUCUCUCAUUGCUUAUUGUUACAUUAAUUUUCGUGGUAAGAAAGGUUUACAUUAAAAGUAACAUCAUAUAGGAAAAAUGCUUCUAUUCUAACACAUUUUUUUCUGGAAAAAAGAGCACUAGUACUGAGGAGUCGUAUUGACAAGGAUGCUGUUUACAAUUCUGAUGAGUCGUACUGACAAGGACAUAAUUAUUGUGCAAAUGGAAAAAAACAUACAUAAUUAUCGAUGCUACUGGAUUGUGGACAGAGGAGUUAAAUUAAGCCCCUCACUUUGUUUCU